rnacentral:piRNA from 1 species
UGUAUCUCGCUUCGACCUUGA